UACGGAAGGCAGCAGUGGGGAAUAUUGCACAAUGGGCGAAAGCCUGAUGCAGCUAUGCCGCGUGUAUGAAGAAGGCCUUAGGGUUGUAAAGUACUUUCAUCGGGGAGGAAAAAACAAAACUAAUAAUUUUAUUUCUUGACGUUACCCGAAAAAGAAGCACCGGCUAACUCCGUGCCAGCAGCCGCGGUAAUACGGAGGGUGCUAGCGUUAAUCAGAAUUACUGGGCGUAAAGAGCACGUAGGUGGUUUUUUUAAGUCAGAUGUGAAUCCCUGGGCUUAACCUAGGAACUGCAUUUUGAAACUGAAAUACUAGAGUAUCGUAGAGGGAGGUAGAAUUCUAGGUGUAGCGGUGAAAUGCGUAGAUAUCUGGAGGAAUACCUGUGGCGAAAGCGACCUCCUAAACGAAUACUGACACUGAGGUGCGAAAGCGUGGGGAGCAAACAGGGAUUAGAUACC
rnacentral:rRNA from 1 species